rnacentral:tRNA from 1 species
AGUUAAUGAACUUGUAUAAGUAUAUGUUUUGAAAACAUAAUAAAGUGAUUCAAUUUACUAUUAACUU